CUUCACCUAAAGGAUGACGGCCUAAUCUCAUCUCAUACUUUGUGACUUUUGUCCAUCCGUUGUUGAUUCACCUCAACAUUGAUCUACAAUUUACCAUGAUAACUUGAAACUUCUUACGUAAUCACUAGGGCUCACGUGGCAUUGAGGAACAUUUGAAGUGAUUUUCUUGACCCACCUGGGGACAAUAUAUACUAUACUUCCAUAACCGUAUUUCCUAGCAUUCCAAUGUGAUUCACCUUACGUGAGUAAAUUAAUCCCGUACAAUCCAUGAAUCCCUUUCUUCAAAUCAUUGUGGGUACAUGUUUUCCGUACGUGACUAUAUAUGUACCUACAAUUCACCUUACGUGAGUAAAUUUUUCUAGUGAAUUUGACCAAUGGAUGCAUUCUAUUUCAAAAUUAGGUGUUGAAAGACUAUAUCUUUCUUUUGAUUGUGGCAUUAUUCCUAUUCUCUAUGUUCACAUAAACUGGAGUCGCCAAUAAGGGAGAGGUAGAUGCCUAGCACGCUAUAUUGACUAUUCUAUGAAGUGACCAGAUAUUUCUGAAUUCUGCUUCUUGUGAAGAUCUUAGUCUAAGCUUCCCUGAUGCAGUUGGAAGACUGUAAAAGGCAACAGGCGCAGCUAAUUGAUUGUAAUAUCAUGUCUUAUUAAUAUUUCUAGUUUUAUGGCCACAUUAACUCCAAUCUUUUUCCUCUGCCGCAUUUACUAAAAUGACCAUUGAUUUCUCUUAUUUCUCAUUAAAUUCCAACAGAUAGAUGAUGGAAUUUUACUUUGGUUUUAGAUCAAUUAAAUUAACCAGUACGCUGGUACGUACUUGUACAGUUUUCUUCAGCAACGCCUGCUCUUGUUUUCUUUCUUAUAAGUGGCAGAGGUAAGUUCUGCUUAGCAAGAAGAGACUUUUGUUGGUUCACAUUUUUAUAUAAUAUCCCUUAUCCACAGAAAAGAAGCACUAAUCCACGAGGGUUAGAUUCGAAUCAACAGUCUCCUUAUGUAAUACUAGUACAUAUAUAGUCGUGCAGAAAGCAAAAGGGAGAAAAGCAAAAGCAAAGAAGGAUGCAGGGGGUGGAGCAUAAGAAAAGCAAAAAAGACGUCUUUCUCAACACAGAUCCCAACGGAAUGCAGGAAGGAUGCACGACAUUACUUGCUGGAUCCUAUUCUUUUCGUUUUUUAGUUUAAAGGGACUCCCUUAGUUCUCCUUGGUAAUCUUUUCAGUGUGAUACACACACACACACAGAGCCCAUUCAGUUGUUUUUGACUUUAUUUUUAGAUUUAUGGCUAGAAAACAAAAAUAGAAAAAAGUUUCAAAUGGAGGGAACAAAAGAAAGGGUGGAGUAUGAUUAGCUUAUUUGUCUCCCAAUGAUUGACUUGCCGCCUUGCUCCAAGAGAAACUUGCUCUGAAUCUCUUAAUAAGUGUCAGGAUUUUUUCAAUCCCAUAGCAACGAAAAUGAAGUCUUCUGAGUAAUGAUGACAAUAGCGGCAACACUAACAGCAACAGCUACUGGCUUGGUUAUUCAUUCUCCCCUCACAUAAACAGCUUAGAGGGUCCUCCUCCUCAUCACCAUCACAAUCAACCUGGCUCAAGCAAUGUUCCAAGUUCAGUCCGCAUUAGAUUUUGUCCAACUCAUCUAAACUAUCCAGGCAUGUACUAUAAUAUUGAAGGUGACGAUGCAGCCUUUUUCUCUUCAUUUUCUGCGAUGCCUCUCAAGUCUGAUGGUUCAUUAUGCAUUAUGAAAGCAUUCAACAGGUCAGAACAACCAAAAGUUUGAAGGUAUGGUAAGUUUCAACACCUAAACUGGAGGACUUCUUUGGUGAUGCAGCAAUGGGAACCCAUCACCAUGAAGGUUGUAACGGAUGAGGGUUCACACCUUAGACAGCAAGAUUUACUAUAAUCAACACCAAGAAAGGGUUUGGAGGUUUAAUGAUGGCAGCAACGGACUAUGGAAGCAGCUUGUAGAAGUCAAAUAUGGAAGGAAGGAUUAUUGGGCUCCUUGUGCAAUUCAGUCUUCUUCUAAAGGAGGAGUUUGGAGUACCAUUAGCAAUCUAAAGGGUGAAUACAGUCAGCUUGUUAAGCUGAAAUUGGGGAAUGGCAAUAAUAUUUUAUUCUGGUAUGAUGUACGGAUGGGAAAUUAGAGCUUCAGAUCAAGAUUUCCCGUUUUAUAUAGUUUCUCCACAAACAAAAAAGGAAAUAUAGCAGAUCUGUACUCAAAUAAUGGCUGGCAACUGAUGUUUAGGAGAGGCCUCAAAUGACUUGGAAAUAGAUGAAUAUGCUCAAUUGCUGCAGUUGCUGGACAGUGUUAGUUUGUAGGAUAAUAAGAGAUCCAUUUAUCUGGGCAGCAAGUGGUGAUGGAAAAUUCACUGUCAACAAAUGCUACACUGUAUUGGAAAAGCAACAGAGGAUGCAUGAUUCAGAUUGGCCAUGGAAAGCAAUUUGGAAAUCUAAAGCACCUGUAAAGUAGCUUGUUUUGGGUGGGUGGCGGCAAAGAAAGCUUGUAACUCAGGAAAAUCUGCAAAGAAGAGGUACUACUCUGAUUAAAAGAUGCUAUAUGUGUGAAGAAGAUUUAGAAACUGUUAAUCAUCUCUUUAUUCAUUGCAAAGUGGCAAAACAAUAAUGGGAGCUCUUUCUAAAUAUGUAUGGAGUCAGAUGGGCAAUGCCCUCAAAUGUGAAAAGCUUACUGGAAACUUGGCAACUUCAAAAGAUGGCAAGGAGUCAAUUGGCUGUGUGGAGAAGAACUCCUCUAUGUGUUUUAUGGACAACAUGGUUGGAGAGACAUAGGGUCUGCUUUGAAGGAAGAAGACAACAUGUUUCCAGGAUUAAACAUGAUAUGUUUGAUAAAUCUGUAUUACUGUUGCAAAAGAAGUGUUGUGGAAAUUUGGAACAGUAAAUGAAUCUUUUAGUGGAGUUAAGUGAUAUGUAGGAGAUCAGUUUUGUGUUAGUUGCUGGCCUAUUAUAUUUGUACCAUUUUGGUACCUUUUUUAUUUAAUAAAAUUUUUCCUUACCAAAAAAAAAAAAUAUUAACCAACACCAAGAAAAUGAGACCACCAGCAGCCAAGAUUUCUCGAACUUGUUCAAGAAACCUCUAGGCAGCAACAACAAAAACAACACUACCCAGAUUUCUCAGCAUAUCACUCUACUGAUCAGGGGAAAACAGAGUGCAAUCCUCAGGUCCCAACAAUGCCAGUUGAUGAAAUGUCUGGCAUUAAUAACUGGCUGUCAAGAAACUAUCGAAAUCUAAAAGGGCAUGUAUUAGAGCAGAAUAUGGUAGGCUGCAUGGCUGAUAAUAGUGGAGAAUCUGGGUCUAGUGGUGCAAUAACAUACGGAGAUUUUAUGUCAUUUAGCUUAUCAAUGAGCCCUGGCUCUCAAUCAAGUUGUGUCAGUGGAACGCAGCAAAUCUCUCCAACCGUUGCGGAUAAUAUUGCCAUGGAAACAAAGAAAACAGGGCUUAAGAAGGUGGAUCAUCAAAAGCAAAUUGUUCAUAGGAAAUCCAUUGAUACUUUUGGCCAAAGAACCUCAUAGUAUCGAGGCGUCACUAGGCAUAGAUGGACUGGGAGAUACGAAGCUCAUCUAUGGGACAAGAGUUGUAAGAAAGAAGGGCAGAGCAGGAAAGGAAGGCAAUGUUAGUUUCAAACUUUUCUUUAAUGGAUUUGCUUUUUAUAGCUUCUGGUGGGUAUGACGUGGAAGAAAAAGCUGCAAGAUCAUAUGACUUGGUAGCACUGAAGUACUAGGGACUCUCAACAUAUAAAUUUCACGGAAGAGUUGUAAUUUUUCAAGAGGAGCUUCAAUGUAUCGAGGAUCUGUCUUCCUUGGAAGGACAUAAAGGUUGUCAUGUUGUAGCGCAAAGAUAUUCAAUUGGAGCAGUAGCUCAUCGUCUACAGUCACAUCCAGUUGGAUAAAGACUGCACCUGAGGCCUCAUCUUGUUCGUGCACCAUAUUGUAGAAAUCCUUCCUGCUCUUGACAACUAGAACUGGAAAUAACUUCGGGAUGGACUUCGCAGCUUCUUUCAGCGUCUUUGAGGAUGCCGGACAGACGCUACUGCUGCCAAUCUCAUGUGUGCUUGAUGGUGUCUCUUGUAUAGCAUGUGUGAGACUGGAUCCACUCAAAGGGAGAGCACUAGAUGAACUGGUUGUCCGCACAUUUUGGUUAUCAGCAUCCUUUGGCUAAUGUGUUAUUUCGCACACCCAAGACAAACGUCUUUUAAAAUAUUUCUGCAAUGCAUCGAACACACCUACAAAUGAAAAGGACUGUUAGAGCAGAGAAUUAACGCAGAGAAUUGAAAGGGGGCUGGUACCAUAACAGGUUUAGCAGAAAAAAGUUACCUCGAGCUGGAACAGAUUUAUAUUUCUUCGAACAAAGACUCUAACAUUAGCAAAUUUGUAUGAAGUAGAUGGCAGUAAGUUACCAAAGGCUCUCAAUAAAACUCAUGGCCUACGCCAAAAUUUAACAAGGGGCCUCAAUUUUUCUUUUCUUUUUUGUCUAUAGUGUAGUUAUCUUAUAAAAUAUAGUAUUAAUAUUA